UACGAGUACCCCAAGCGUUAUCCGGAAUCAUUGGGCGUAAAGGGUGUGUAGGCGGUAUGGUUAGUCUUCUGUCAAAAUCUCGGGCUUAACCCGAGACCUGCAGAGGAAACGGCCAAACUAGAGGGUGCGAGAGGUGAAUGGAACUCAUGGAGUAGGGGUGAAAUCCGUUGAUAUCAUGGGGAACACCGAAAGCGAAGGCAAUUCACUGGCGCAUUUCUGACGCUGAAACAAGAAAGCGUGGGUAGCGAACGGG
rnacentral:rRNA from 1 species